GGGCGAGCGUUAUUCGGAAUUAUUGGGCGUAAAGGGCGCGUAGGCGGCCUUCUAAGUCGAACGUGAAAUCCCCGGGCUCAACCCGGGAACUGCGUCCGAUACUGGAAGGCUUGAAUCCGGGAGAGGGAUGCGGAAUUCCAGGUGUAGCGGUGAAAUGCGCAGAUAUCAGGAAGAACACCCGUGGCUAAGGCGGCUCUCUAGUACGGUACUGACGCUGAGACGCGAAAGCGUGGGGAGCGAACAGG
rnacentral:rRNA from 1 species